CCUACGGGUGGCAGCAGUGAGGAAUAUUGGUCAAUGGACGAGAGUCUGAACCAGCCAAGUAGCGUGAAGGAUGACUGCCCUAUGGGUUGUAAACUUCUUUUAUAUGGGAAUAAAACGUUCCACGUGUGGGAUUUUGUAUGUACCAUAUGAAUAAGGAUCGGCUAACUCCGUGCCAGCAGCCGCGGUAAUACGGAGGAUCCGAGCGUUAUCCGGAUUUAUUGGGUUUAAAGGGAGCGUAGGUGGAUUGUUAAGUCAGUUGUGAAAGUUUGCGGCUCAACCGUAAAAUUGCAGUUGAAACUGGCAGUCUUGAGUACAGUAGAGGUGGGCGGAAUUCGUGGUGUAGCGGUGAAAUGCUUAGAUAUCACGAAGAACUCCGAUUGCGAAGGCAGUUCACUGGACUGCAACGGACACUGAGGCUCGAAAGUGUGGGUAUCAAACAGGAUUAGAUACCCCUGUAGUC
rnacentral:rRNA from 1 species